UUCAGGUCGUCCAUUUUUUUUUUUGAUUUGGUUUAGCUAGAUAUUUUGCUAUAAGUCUGCGUAAUUGCUUCUUUAGAAUUCGCUAGACCGUUUUCACUAUUUUUGGCUGCUGUAGUCCCAUUGUGCGCCACAAAUAUGACUUCAAAACAUCAAUAUUUCAAUACAUACAUACAUACAUACAUAUUUACUUGUUUUUGUCUAAAGCCCCACUGAACGGUUGAUUGCUACCCCCCAACUGCAUGUAAAAAUAAUGAAUAUCGGGUGCAAAGGUUAUCAGUGCUGUGCACGAAAAUAUCGCAUGCUAUCGUCAAAUGGUUGGGGGCUCGAAAGGAAUAUUUUUGCAAAAUAUCAAUGAUAACAAAGAUGUUAACUCCAUGCUAAACUGCCAGACGCAGUGUAAAAUGUAUACACGUAUGCCUAGACCGUCAUUUGCCACCAUUGGAGCCGAGAAUUCAAGCAUGGCUGGGAGUCGAUGGAAGAUGAUCGCAGGUGUUCUUUUCGACUAUCUUCCUAAACAAACUAAAAUGAACGGAGACUAAGUGCGUCAAGUUGUUGUCGAGAAGCGGGGAAUCUAAAGGAGUCCUGAUCGAGACCGGAUUUAAAGAAAUCAACCACCCACCAUACAGUCCACAAAUAGCCCCCAGCGAUUACUUUCUGUUCUUCAAUUUGAAGAAAAACAUCCGAGGACGAAGACUUUCGAGUGAAGAAGAAAUGAAGGCGGCAGUAGGCUAGCAUUUCGAAGACAAAGACGGCGAAUACUUUUUCACUGGUUGAAAAUCCCUUUAUUAUAAUUGUAAGAAGUGUAUUGAAGUAGAGGGAGAUUAUAUAGAAAAAUUAAAUUUUUAUACAUUUCUAUCAGCUAUUUUAAUACCUUACUUACCUUUAAUACCGCUUCAAUCUCAGCAUGAAUAGCUUACAAAGUCACUGACAUUCACUCCCGAAAGCUAGUGAAACUUAUUAAUUAGCACAAAAUAACUCGAAACACAACAAAUACAUAUCCAUCUAUGCACAUAUGUCUGCAUGUGUGUAUACUGGUAUUAAUAAUAAUA